rnacentral:rRNA from 1 species
GGCCAGCUCUAUUCUCGGCUCUCUGAGUCGGUGUAGAGUUUGGUCAUCCGUAUGGGAAGCUAGCUCGGCCUUCACUGGUCGGCUAGUGGAUCAUACACUUUACUUUGAAAAAAUUAGAGUGUUUCAGGCAGGCAAUUGCUUGGAUACUGCAGCAUGGAAUAAUGGAAUAGGACUUUGGUCUAUUUAUUGGUUUGAGAUCAAAGUA